rnacentral:ncRNA from 1 species
ACAACCUCACUCAUAUGGGACUACCCCCUGAAUUUAACCUAUAAUUAGGGGAGGAAAAGAAACUAACAAGGUUUUCUUCUAGCGGCGAGCGAAAGAAAUCAUUCAGCACUAAUCACUUUGUCUAUAUGGCAAUUGAAAGCAUGUAGGACUCACUUCUAUAUAGAGUACGAUUAGUCUCUAAUGAGCUUACCUA